rnacentral:rRNA from 1 species
UCCGUAGGUGAACCUGCGGAAGGAUCAUUACAAGUGAGGCUACCGAACGUUGGAAACAGCGGUUAGGAGCUUACACCCACCCGUGUUUACAUACUAUUGUUGCUUUGGCGGGCCGUGGCCUCCACUGCGGGCUCUGCUCGUGUGUGCCCGCCAGAGGACCAAACUCUGAAUGUUAGUGAUGUCUGAGUACUAUCUAAUAGUUAAAACUUUCAACAACGGAUCUCUUGGUUCUGGCAUCGAUGAAGAACGCAGCGAAAUGCGAUAAGUAAUGUGAAUUGCAGAAUUCAGUGAAUCAUCGAAUCUUUGAACGCACAUUGCGCCCUGUGGUAUUCCGCAGGGCAUGCCUGUUCGAGCGUCAUUUAACCACUCACGCCUAGCGUGGUAUUGGGGCACGCGGUCUCGCGGCCCUCAAAAUUAGUGGCGGCGCCGGUGGGCUCUAAGCGUAGUACAUACUCCCGCUAUAGAGUUCCCCCGGUGGCUCGCCAGAACCCCCAAUUUUUUACAGGUUGACCUCGGAUCAGGUAGGGAUACCCGCUGAACUUAAGCAUAUC